ensembl:snRNA U6 U6 spliceosomal RNA
GUGCUCAUUUCGGCAACACAUAUACUAAAAUCGGAACAACACAAAGAUUAGCAUGACCCCUGUGCGAAGAUGACAUGCAAAUUCAUGAAGUGUUGCAUGUAUUU